GCGGUCCUUUAUUAUCAGUUGGCUGCCAGCCAGGGCCACAGCCUGGCUCAGUACCGCUAUGCCAGGUGCCUACUACGAGACCCAGCCUCUUCGUGGAACCCUGAGCGGCAGAGGGCAGUGUCCUUGCUGAAGCAGGCUGCAGACUCAGGCUUGAGAGAGGCCCAAGCUUUCCUCGGGGUGCUUUUCACCAAGGAGCCCUACCUGGAUGAGCAGAGAGCUGUGAAAUAUCUUUGGCUUGCAGCCAACAAUGGGGUAUGCGAUCUCAGUGGACAAGCAUGUUGGGGAUGAAGCCUGAUAAGAGAAGGGAUUUUGGAACUGGUACUGAGUUCUUCUGUGCUUAGGAGAUUGUUGGAUAGGAGCCUUGGCCUGGCUUCAAGCCUUAGCGCUCACUGACUUACUGUGUGACCGUUGGGCAGUUGCAGUAGUACGCCAGAGCUGGCUUGCACCAGGCUGUGAGAGCUGUUGGCAGCUUAAAAUCUGCUAUGGUGGGAAUAUUUGCACCACAGAAAUUGCUAAAUGCCAUAAAACAGGGCUUUUUCCCUCCUCGAGAGCCAGUUGUUCAACAUUUACCAGCACACUACUGGGCCUGGUCACUUCUUGAUUCAAACCUGUUUCCUCGUCUUUAAAAUCAGAAUAAUAAUGCUUGCCUUACCUGUCCAGUACUUCACAGGGUGGUUGUGAGGAUCAAAAUCUAACUGAGAUAACUAACAGGUGUGACAGUGCUGUGAAACCUGUACACAUGAAAAACACAUCAUUACAAGUGAUGGUAACCCAGGGAAAUUAGAAGACGCAUCAAGUGGAGACAGUAAACAGGGAACACUGCUCAGUUUGGGGUGGGUGGGGAUGUCUGGUUGUCUGUGAACUGGGGUCAUUGGCAUUCAGACAAUUCAGAUGUGUUCCAUGAAGCAUUAGUUCUCUGGGAUGCUUGUAAGUCAUAAGAGGAAAAAAAUGGUUAGAUGGGUUUGGGAAAUACUGAGUUAAACAGUUAAUAUAGGAAGUCUCAAAGCUUUAUGUCACUGUAGAUCACUGAAAAGGCCAUCUGUAAUUUGCUGUAUUCCUCAAGUGUAUUUGACCAGUAUAUCUUUUGAGUUGCAUCUUGAAGGACCAGGAGUCUUGGAUUAAAUCAAGCAAUAUAUGCGUGAACUGUAAUCUCCCUACAUAGGGGACUGCUGCUUCCUUUGUUUUCUGGCCAAUACACUGAUAGCUUCGUUGAACUCCUGGGCAUCAGAAUGCUUUUCCUUGUCUACUCUGUGUUGCCCAGAGUAUCUGUAGUAGCUGUCAAAAGGGGACCAAUGUCACCAACAGGUAUCCACUGCUGUACCUGCCUUGCCUUGAAAGAGCCCCACAGAGCCUUCCAAAGUUGGGCAGGUCUGCACAUCCAUGUGCAGGGCAAGACUGGGCAUGCUGGCCUGCUUUAAUCAGACCAGCGUGCUAGCAGGAGAAAUGUACAAAAGGAUAUCUGUCACCUGCUAUAUGACGCUGUAUUGGGACUCAGACCCAACACACUUCCACCCCACAGGGAAUUGUGUCUUUCUGGGUUUGUACUGAGCAGUGUUGCAGGGGUGGUGUUUUGGCCUUACGUGUGUCCACUGCUGUGUUGUAACGUGGUCUGUAGGCAUGAGUCUGUCAUGUUUGUUGGAGAGACUUUUGGCCUGUGUGUUAUAGAAGCAGGGGGAGAAUGUGUAGACAACUCUUCCCAGAAGUUUGACUGUGGAGGGUAGAAGAGAAAUUGGACCAUGGUUGAGAGUCAAUAGUGUUUUGUUUUGUUUUUUUAAUUGGGAGAGUGAAUAUGAUUCAUGUAGUGAAUGUAAGCACUUUUCAUAUAGUGUAUUUAAUCCUUGCAACAACCUAAUAAGGUAGGUGCUAUUAGCAUCCCACUUUAUAGGUAAGAAAACUGAGGCACCAUGAGGUAGAGUCACGUGCCUGAGUUAACACAGCUGGUAAGUGGUAGAGCCGUGAUGGGAGUGCAGACAGUCUGGCUAUGCAGCUGGACACCCAGCCUCUACCUGAUCCUGUUCCUCCCAGGAGCAUAGUUCUCAGAGAGAGGAGAGACAAUCGAGGAUCCAGAGCUGGGGCAAAGAGCAUAGCGUUUUUUGUUUUGUUUUGUUUUGUUUUUUUGAGACGGAGUCUCACACUGUCGCCCUGGCUGGAGUGCAGUGGCGCGAUCUCAGCGCACUGCAACCUCCGCCUCCCGGGUUCACAUGAUUCUCCUGCCUCAGCCUUCUGAGUAGUUAGGGUUACAGGUGCACACCACCACACCUGCCUAAUUUUUUUUGUAUUUUUAGAGACGGGGUUUCACUAUGUUGGGCAGACUGGUCUCCAACUCAUGACCUCGUGAUCUGCCCACCUUGCCCUCCCAAAGUGCUGGGAUUACAGGUGUGAGCCACCGCGCCCAGGCCAAGCAUAGCUUUUUAAAGGAGAAGAGUUUCCUUUUCUGUCAGCCCUCCCAGGCAGAGAUUCAGGAAGGCACAGGGCCUUUGGGAAGACAACCCUCCACCUUCGCCUCCUUGCUGUUUCAGGGCAACAUAGGAGCCCGACUCCCAGGUUUGCUAUAACUGGCCUGAGUGUUUCCUGUAGCCUUCGUUGUGCAUGCUUUCAGCCAGCCUAUGCAAGAGAAGCCUCCACACUGCCCUGGCUGGAAUCUCCCUGGGUGGAGGGAUCCCCCUCUCCUUUGUGUUGGGACUCACAGAGCAGGUACCACCUUGGAAUUUGCUAUGAGAAAGGCCUUGGUGUGCAGAGGAAUCUGGGAGAGGCCUUGAGAUGUUACCAGCAGUCAGCCGCUCUGGGAAAUGAGGCCGCCCAGGAGAGGCUGCGAGCCCUCUUUUCCAUGGGGGCUGCAGCCCCGGGGCCCAGCGACCUGACAGUUACAGGACUGAAGUCUUUCUCCAGCCCCUCCCUCUGCAGCUUGAACACCCUGCUAGCAGGAACCUCACGCCUACCACAUGCCUCGAGCACAGGCAACCUUGGCCUCCUCUGCAGAAGUGGGCAUCUCGGAGCCAGCCUGGAAGCCUCCAGCAGGGCUAUUCCCCCACACCCCUACCCACUGGAAAGGAGUGUUGUAAGACUAGGUUUUGGCUAAGGAAGAAGUUUCUUGCCCAAAUGCCUGGAUGUGUCUGCUUGACUUUCAGAACUUCUCACCUCAGCCCUAAAGAGGGAGCCUGUGGGUUCUCAGAGAGAUAUCACAAUUUGAGUCCCAAAGAAGAGGCCAGAUACCCACCCACCUUCCCCCAAAUCUUAAGCACCUGCGCCAGUACAGUCAAGAAGAGGAAAGUGUGUGAAGACCCAGGUCUGGCUCUGCCACUUGCCUGGCCAUGUCACCUUGAAGCUGUGACCUGACUCCCUAUAUUGUUUCCUCAGUUGUAGACCAAAGGCAAUGGUGUCUGCCCUCCUACCUUAGAAGACAAAUGCAAGGGCAUUUCACCACAGAGAGGACCUUUGUGCUCACUUUGGCCCAGGAGGCAGUGAUGCUCAUGGUUGCAUGACUUUAUGAGUCGCUGGGCCAGGGUGAGGACCUGGGCCUCCUGACUCCUGGCCCAGAGUUCUUGUCCAUCAGUUCAUACUGCAAUUUUAUGUGAAAGCAUUAUGACUGUCCUACCCAUGGGAGAGUAAAUGUAGAUUGAAUGCUAGGAGUCUUAAAGCUGGAGAGUAUAGAUUUUGAGGUCCCCAUUUGGGAAACAUGUGCCAGAAAUGUCUAG
rnacentral:lncRNA from 1 species